rnacentral:pre_miRNA from 1 species
GCUAAGGGCCUGAUCCAAAGCCCAUUGAAGUCAGUGGGAGUCUUUCCACUGACUUCAGUGGGCUUUGAAUCAGGCCUCAAGUCGU